UACGAAGGGGGCUAGCGUUGCUCGGAAUUACUGGGCGUAAAGGGCGCGUAGGCGGCGCAGUUAGUCAGGCGUGAAAUUCCUGGGCUCAACCUGGGGACUGCGCUUGAUACGGCUGUGCUAGAGGAUGGAAGAGGCUCGCGGAAUUCCCAGUGUAGAGGUGAAAUUCGUAGAUAUUGGGAAGAACACCGGUGGCGAAGGCGGCGAGCUGGUCCAUUACUGACGCUGAGGCGCGAAAGCUAGGGGAGCAAACGGG
rnacentral:rRNA from 1 species